rnacentral:rRNA from 1 species
AUUACGGGGUGCAGGCGCGAAAACUUUACAAUGCGAGAAAUCGUGAUAAGGGAACCCCGAGUGCCCGUAAAUUCGGGCUGUCCGCCAGUGUAAAUAACUGGUGAAGAAAGGGCCGGGCAAGACCGGUGCCAGCCGCCGCGGUAAUACCGGCGGCUCGAGUGGUGGCCACUAUUACUGGGCUUAAAGCGUCCGUAGCUGGAUUGUUAAGUCUCUUGGGAAAUCCACCGGCUCAACCGAUGGGCGUUCAGGAGAAACUGGCAAUCUAGGGACCGGGAGAGGUGAGAGGUACUCCAGGGGUAGGAGUGAAAUCCUGUAGUCCUUGGGGGACCACCUGUGGCGAAGGCGUCUCACUAGAACGGCUCCGACAGUGAGGGACGAAAGCUGGGGGAGCAAACCGGAUUAGAUACCCGGGUAGUCCCAGCUGUAAACGAUGCGCGUUAGGUGUAUCGGUGACCACGAGUCAUCGAGGUGCCGAAGGGAAACCGUGAAACGUGCCGCCUGGGAAGUACGGUCGCAAGGCUGAAACUUAAAGGAAUUGGCGGGGGAGCACAAU